CUUCAAAUGGCGUCGUGUUCACGAUAGUCAAAGGUUCACCACCGCUCUUGUGAUUUUAACGAGUGGAACAUUUUCCAAAUUCAAAUUCCAAAUUCAAGAGUUGUAGCAUGUUUGUUGACGUCUUCAAGAUUAUGGUCUCUGUCGUCUGCUUGCCGAUUGAGAGAGGAGGCGACAACAUCCAGCCAGAGUCAGAGUGUUUGAUUUGUGAGCAUGCAAACACUAUCAGGUGGCCAUGUAGGCGAUCACCGACAGCUAUAAAAGACCUAAGCAGGGUCGGGCCUGUUUAGUACUUGGAUGGAAGAACACCAGGUGCUGUAAGCCUUUUCCGCUUUUACCAACAACAUGAGAUAGCGCUGCUGUGUCUCCUUGCUCAAAGUCAUACAUGAACUGUAUGUCUAGCAUAUGCUGUCCUUGCCUAUGAAUGGGUUUUGUGCAAA